ACCGAGACUAGAGUCAUAUCCUGACACACUGCUUGUCCCCUGGUGUGCUAGAGUCCUCGGAGAGAAUGUGCUGAUCUUGAUUUACUGGCAGGGGUAAUCCAUGCCCCUAUUAGUGCCUAGGUCAGAAACAUGU